UGUUCUGUGGUUUAGUUGGCUAAAGCGCAAGUCUAGCUAAUACAGGGUAUGGGUUCGAAUCCCAACAGAACGC
rnacentral:tRNA from 1 species